UGCCCUUCCCCCCCCGCCCCCCGCCCCCCGCCCCGAUAUUCGGGAAGAUUUGGGGGCCGCCGCCUGUGUCGUUCGAUAUGAGACCAAAAGUCCUUAUUUUUGUCGUUUUCACAGGUGACGGUAAAGAAUCUGCGUUCAGGGAAGGUGUGGGUUAUUUGCUGAAGGCCGCACAGCCAGGGAGUUAGCCGCUGUGCAUGGUAUCUGACACCUAGUUUUGGUAAGAAAUAGUGACUGGUAAACAACUCGUUGUGUAUGUGACCCCCAGAGAGGAGUUUGGAGGAGCCCAGUGUGUGGGGCCAAGUUGUAGAAUGGAACAUUCGUGUCAUUUUGCUCCAUUCAGCCAACCAACCGAGUCGGUGCGGGCAGCAGAAGUUCGGAGUUUCAGAUCCGAAUUGGAGCUGUGAACACACGUUAGGAAGUAAUUAGUGGGUGGAGGUGGUGUAGCUUCUAGUCACGCCGUGUAUCUAGGAGGAGACUUCUGCAGGUUUCUCAUUGUUCACACCAGAAAACAGUAGACUUUAUGUAUGUUCAGUCUUCCCUCUUGCUGAGACAUUGGCAGAGCUGUGAGCUUCCGCAUGGGGCCAGAAAAGGAACUUGCCGCCGCAUGAAUACGGAGAGGGGAACGGACCGCACACAUUUCGGAGGGUUGGGUGAGGGCUCUCGCACACCUAGGAUACCCUGAGAAAAGCCAGUGAGGACUGCUGUAGCUCAGACGCUUCUUUCAACGCAGCCUCUGCGUGCACCCGUUUAGGGCCUUGGCCUCAGCAGGUAUGUGGGUUGACAGAGGCUGGUGAGUGCUGCCCAAUGACUGUGGGGUGAGUGUGGGAGGAUCUUCACCUUUGGGCUGCCUGCCUACAUUUGCCCCUUGGGAACUCAGGCUCAGUAUUUUAAAAUCCUUAGGUAUGAACUGUAACUUUGGGUAAGUUACUGUUAAAUCAAUGUAAGAUAACAGAAAAAUAUAGAAAUGGGAAACUACCUUUUUUUUUUUUUUUAGAUUUUAUUUAUUCCUGAUAGACACAGAGAGAGAGAGAGAGGGACAGAGACACAGGCAGAGGGAGAAGCAGGCUCCAUGCCAGGAGCCGGACGCGGGACUCCAUCCCGGGACCCCAGGAUCACACCCUGGGUCAAAGGCGGGUGCCAAACCGCUGAGUCACCCAGGGAUCCCAGGAAACUACCUUUUUAUCUUUGGUCUGUCAGUCUUUUUUUCAGAGUUGUAUCAUGUAAAGCAUUCACCUUUGGAUGGCUUCUUGGAAGCUGAAAAACAGAAGGACUAUCUGCUUUGCCCCAAAUUUUCCUGAUCCCUUCAGGCAUCAGUUGGGGUCCCCUCUUUGUGUUGGCACCCAUCUGUGGGUGUGGCACCUGAGGGGGGCAGGAGGGAGGCUGCUCUGUGUCUUCCCCCUUACUGCAUGUGCUGCUGCUCCCGAGGACUGGCUUGAAAAAAGCCCAGGACAUUCGGUUUAGACAGAUGGAGGGCAGGGUCAUUUUCAAAACGAAAUGAGUGCACAAAUCACACUGUGAAAUUGGCAUGACCAUCACUGCUGCUGUGAUAGACUGACUUUUAUUUAGUGUCUGAUAGGCAGUUGGGGAAUAGAUUAGUUUUUUUUUUUUUUUGAGGUGGGGCGAAAAGAAGGCCCAUUAAUUAAUGAUAGAAAUUCUGGAAAGCAGUAAACGGGAUGGAAUAUUAUAAAAUGUCAUAAAGGCUCAUUUUGUUUCCAACAAUCUUGAAAACUGGAGCAUGUAUCAAAAGGUAAAUGUAUCGUACCAUUCUGAACAAUAAGAAAACAUUUGGUGGUUUCAAUAAAAUGAUUUAGUGCCUUGUUGAAAGAAACCAGGCUUUGAGAAAA